ensembl:lncRNA
CCCUGUGCCUGACAUCCCCACACCCCUGUGCCCAGCAUCCCUGUGUUCCCAUACACAGCAUCCCCACAUCCCUGUGCCUGACAUCCUCAUGUCCCUAUGCCCACCAUCCCUGUGUCCCCAUACACAACAUCCCUGUGCCUGACAUCCCCUUGUCCCCAUACACAACAUCCCUGUGCCCAGCAUCGCCAUGUCCCCAUACACAACAUCCCCAUAUCCCUGUGCCCACCAUCCCUGUGUCCCCAUACACAACAUCCCUGUGCCCACCAUCCCCAUGUCCCCAUACACAACAUCCCCACAUCCCCGUGCCCACCAUUUCCAUAUCUCCAUGCCCAUCCUCCUGCUGUCCCCAUGCCUGGAGUCCCACAAGUGACAUCCCCACGUCUACAUCCCUCUCCCUGCACCUCCAUGCCCAGCAUCCCCAUAUCCCCAUCCAUGGUUCUCACCACCCCACAUCCUCAUCCUUUGCAUCCCCAAAUCCCCACGUCUGUUGUCCCCAUGACCCCACAUCCCAACCCCAUAUCCCCACACCUCACAUCCCAAAUCCCAACCCCACACCUCACAUCCCACAUCCCCAUCUCUGUAUCCCCACACCUCACAUCCCAAAUCCCAACCCCACACCUCACAUCCCACACCCCUACCCCAUAUCCCCACACCUCACAUCCCACAUCCCUGUCCCUGUAUCCCCACACCUUACAUCCCAUAUCCCCACACCUUACAUCCCAUAUCCCCACACCUGUGGUCCCCACUGAACUCACAUCCCAAAUCCCAACCCCACAUCCUCACCCCUCACAUCCCCAUCCCCAUAUCCCCACCCCUCACAUCCCAAAUCCCCACACCUGUGGUCCCCAUGACCUCACAUCCCAUAUACCCACAAUUCCCAUCCCACAUCCCCAUCUCUGUAUCCCAUCCCAUCCCAUCCCAUCCCAUCCCAUCCCAUCCCUCCAUGCUGGGAAAAGCAGGAUUGGGCUUUCACCCCCCCCACAGGCCCUGCUUGGUGCCAUCCCUGGUGACAACGAGGUGUCACCUCAUCCCUUUGCUGUCCCCACAGUGCUUCAUGAACGCAGUGCUGCAGUGCCUGAGCAGCACCAAACCUUUACGGGAUUUCUGCCUGAGGAAGGAAUUCCUACAAGAGCAGCCGCCCGGACCCCGCAGCCCACAGGAGCUCACUGAGGGUGGGUGCUGCCCCCCCUCACCCC